GUGCAGCAGGCGAGAAAACUUCACAAUGUGCGAAAGCACGAUGAGGGAAUCCCAAGUGCUUGCACGUAAGUGUAAGCUGUUUCUCUGUCUAAAACGCAGAGAGAGUAGGGGCUGGGUAAGGCGGGUGCCAGCCGCCGCGGUAAUACCUGCAGCUCGAGUGGUGACCGUUAUUAUUGGGCCUAAAACGUCCGUAGCCGGUUUAAUAAAUGCCUGGGUAAAUCGGACCGCUUAACGGUUCGAAUUCCGGGUAGACUGUUAAACUUGAGACCGGGAGAAGUUAGAGGUACUCCUGGGGUAGAGGUGAAAUUCUGUAAUCCUAGGGGGACCACCAGUGGCGAAGGCGUCUAACUAGAACGGGUCUGACGGUGAGGGACGAAGCCC
rnacentral:rRNA from 1 species